rnacentral:rRNA from 1 species
CACGUAGGGCGCGAGCGUUGUCCGGAAUUAUUGGGCGUAAAGAGCUCGUAGGCGGCCUGUUGCGUCCGCUGUGAAAGCCCGGGGCUUAACCCCGGGUCGGCAGUGGAUACGGGCAGGCUAGAGGUAGGUAGGGGAGAAUGGAAUUCCCGGUGUAGCGGUGGAAUGCGCAGAUAUCAGGAGGAACACCGGUGGCGAAGGCGGGUCUCUGGGCAGUAACUGACGCUGAGGAGCGAAAGCGUGGGGAGCGAAUAGG